rnacentral:rRNA from 1 species
UACGUGAGGGACCAAGCGUUGUUCGGAUUUACUGGGCGUAAAGGGCGCGUAGGCGGCAAUUCAAGUCAGCGUGUGAAAUCUCCGGGCUUAACUCGGAACGGUCAGCUGAUACUGCUUUGCUAGAGUGCGGAAGGGGCAAUCGGGAAGUUCUACGGUGUAGCGGUGAAAUGACGUAGAUAUCGAGAGGAACACCCUGAGGUGAAGACGGGUUGCUGGGCCUGACACGUGACGCUGGAGGCGACGAAAGCCAGGGACGCGAACGG